rnacentral:rRNA from 1 species
CUCCUACGGGAGGCAGCAGUGGGGAAUAUUGCACAAUGGGGGGAACCCUGAUGCAGCAAUGCCGCGUGAAGGAUGAAGGUUUUCGGAUUGUAAACUUCUUUUGUACUGGACGAAGAAAGUGACUGUACCGUAAGAAUAAGCCACGGCUAACUACGUGCCAGCAGCCGCGGUAAUACUUAGGUGGCAAGCGUUCUCCGGAUUUACUGGGUGUAAAGUUCGAGUAGGCGGGAUUGCAAGUCAGAUGUGAAAACUAU